GAAUAAACAAGCGUUAACGGUUGGUUUAACAUAUAUGCAAAACCGACUCAAAAAAGAGUUUAUUGAUACCAGAUCGGUUUUAAAUAACAGAAUACAUUUAAUAAGUAUAAAUAAGUUACCACUGGAGAAAGGAAACCUUUUAAGACCCACCGCCCUCCGCUGGAUUAACGCCUGUUAAUUCAUAACUUCUUAAUUACCGUCUAAACUGCCUGUUAACUCAGGUUGCCUUUGAAUGACCUUUGAAACACUCGCUUUACUAUUCAGUCAAAGUUUUAAACAAACAAUGGUGCUGGGACGCUUGUGUUAGCAGUGCCUUGUCUUGCUUCCUCUUCCUUAGACAUGAGAGGUAACUUUCGAGGCAAUUUUUUUCUUUGGGUUUUUUUUCUUCUUAUCGCCUACAAAACAGCUGCUGGCCACUCAUGUAGGGGAAAGUGUGGCGACAUUAUGGAGGAGUGCUCCUGCCACACAACCUGUGUGUCUUUGCUUACCUGCUGUGCAGACUACAACCAGUCCUGUUUACAGGUGACACCUUACUCCAGUUCCAUGCUGGGAGGAAGAGCUCUCAGGAUCCUCAGUUUGGUCCUUAAUCCUGGUGGACGACUUCACUGCAGAUUCAAAGGCAAGAUUGACCAAGAGGGCUUCAAUGAUGCUGAAGGUCAUGCUUUUUGUGUCUGUCCUUUACUAUAUGAGACAGGUUGGAUCCCAUUUACUGUCUCAACAGAUGGAAUAAAUUACGACAGAUCUGGAGAGUACUUGUCUGUCCACCCUAACAAAGCAGACCCUGCCUUUGAAGUCUCCUUGGUGAAUGUGACAAAGUGGCAGAACUACGGCAUCCAGAGCACGACAGGACAGCUUGAGAUGACAUGGAACAACUCUUUGAUCGGAGCUGAUAAGGUCAACAUAGAGCUAUGGGGUUACAGUGAAUCCAGCAGAAGCACUGGGGCAGGAGGGGAUGGAUCACCAUCUCUACAUGCCGAGCUGAGCUAUCUGUACUCUCUGGCCAGGAAUCAACCCAACACUGGGGCCUUCAGCUUCAUUCCAGAGCCCUCACAUGAACACUCUGAGUGGAUGGUGGGGAAUAUCCGCAUCACUGCUAGUUCUAAGUCAGAUGGAGCAAGAGAUAUACAGUGUCUUUGGAGUGCAGGUCAUGUGUUAGCCUGGCACCUGGAGCAGACUUUCAGAGAUGACUCUGCAGCAUGGGCCAGAGAAAAGUGUCUGCAGUGGGACAAAGUGGAGAAGAAGUUACCCAAUUUCCUGGAUGAACUCAUUGACUGCCCAUGCACUCUGGCUCAGGCUCGAGCAGACACAGGACGGUUUCAUACUGACUAUAGUUGUGACAUUGAGACGGGCAGUGUGUGUACUUGGCACCCAGGUAGUAUCCACUGUGUCCGAGCAAUUAAAGCCAGUCCUACUCAUGGAUCAGGUCAGCAGUGCUGUUAUGACAGCACAGGAGCUCUGCUUCUGACAGGAGACUCUAUCAGUGGCAGCACCCCGGACAGGGCUCACGACUGGGGCUCCCCUCCAUACAGGGAGCCACCAAGGGUGCCAGGGUACUCCCACUGGCUUUAUGAUGUCAUAUCUUUCUACUACUGCUGCCUGUGGUCAGACAACUGCCAAAUCUACUUCAACCAUCGACCUUCAAGUGGUUGUCACAACUACAAGCCCCCAAGAGCUGGUGUCGUCCUUGGGGAUCCACAUUUCAUAACAUUCGACGGCCUCAGGUACACUUUCAAUGGCAAAGGAGAGUAUUACCUCAUGUCUUCACCAAACAGAGAGCUGAGUGUUCAGGCCAGGACAGAGCAGGUGAAACUCAAGAAUGGUACCUUUGCAGAAGCCACAAGACUAUCAUCAGUGGCUAUGAAGGAGAAUGCCUCCAAUAUCAUUGAGGUACGCCUAGCUGAGGGGCAUCUUCAAAUACUAAGGAACCAACAAGUCCUGUCUUUCACAGAGCAAAGAUGGAUGGACCUACAUGGAGUGUUUGUGUUCGCCCCCUGCCCACAGAACGUAACAGUGAUCUUCCCCUCUGGUGCUGGUGUGGAGGUCCGUGUCCAUGAAGGAACCAUGGCAGCGACUGUUCUGCUUCCACCAGAGUUCACUAACCAAACUCAGGGUCUCCUCGGUCGGAUGAACUUUGACCAAUCAGAUGACUUGUUAACUCAGGCAGGAGAGGUCAUCUCUGUAGCUGAUGUCACACCAGAGGAAAUCUUUACUUUUGGAGCUGGCUGGAACAUCUCAAAAAAGUCUUCUCUUUUCACCUACGACACAAAGUAUCUUUUGGAUACCUACUAUUCCCAACCAAGCCAUGAUCCUGCUUUCGUCCCUGACUUUUCUGUUCCUGAGAGACCUGACGACCCUCUGGUGGCAGACAUGCUGAAGAUGUGCACUGGAGAAGGAGCCGAGUUUUGUAAAUAUGAUACUCUGACUACUCGGAGCCUCACACUGGGAAACGCCACACUCAAGGCCUAUCAGAAUUACCGGGUCCUGAUGGAAGCCCUGGAGCCAGUUUUGUCCUGUGGCUGGCUGCCUACACCAAGGAAUGGGAAGAAAAAUGGAACACAAUACCUAGAGGGAAACACUCUGAGCUUUACCUGCAGCAAAGACCACAUACUUUAUGGUUCAUCGGAGCGUACCUGUCUGCAAGAUGGCACCUGGACAGGGAACCAACCUUACUGUAUAACAGAUGAUAAGGUGGGGUUCAUUCUUGGCGCUGUCGGUGCCCUCUCAGCACUGGUCACGAUGGGAGUAAUGAUCAGACUGCACAAGAAGAAACAGGACAGGAACAGAUCCGCGACACACUGAAAAAGAUUCUCAACCCACUUUUGGGUCCUGACCCACCACUUGAGAACCGCUGGUUUAAAUCAACAACUUCAUGGGAGAAAAAAGAGAAACUGGACCUGAGUGCAACCCAAGAGCAAUCUUGCUAAACAGUCACAGCCCUUUUCGACUUUGGAUCAUACCAACCUCACAUCAAAACCUGAAACUACAUAGAAUAUGGAAAGGCAAACAUGUUAAGAGCUGAAAAUUUGUAAAUCACACACCGUCAUAUUGUUCACCAGACUGAUGGCCCGACCUGCUGACCUGUUCAGGAAAACCUCAGGCACUAAUUCAGCUAUCAGCGUGUUGUUUUUAUUCUUCUUGUUUAGCUUGGAAACCCUCCAGGCUUUGGUAAAUGGCACAUGGGUUGAGUAUUGAGGUUUUUGAAGUAGAACCAGAAAUGGCAUGAUUGUUUUUGUUUUCCUGUUUUGCAUGGUUGAACGUCCUAUCUCUGCUAGAGAGAGAAUUGUAUAAAUAAUACCGCCAGGAGAUAUCAUCAUUACAAUCAACACUCCCUUCUCCGGCUCAAUUUAAAAUAAAACCAGAUGUGUUCAUAUCGAACGUGAAGUCAACCUGAUCAUUUUUAGGUUGAAAGACUUUGAACUCAUAUGCAGCCUUUGUGUGGGCUCACAGCCUUCAGUCAAAUGAAGAAUAUUCACUGCGAGACUGAAAAAACACAAUAUGUAAAGGCCACAUCUUUGCACUAUAUCAACAUUUGCCUUCUUUGCACUGCUACAUAUCUGUGAUAUAAAAUAUAGAAAUGAUAAAUGUAUCUAGUAAUGUUUUAUCUAUAUGACAAUAAAU